AUGUUUAAAUCCCUCCCUUCCGCCUGAGCCCCCACGUGGGCUGGCAGGGUCUUUGUGGGAGAAGCUGCAAAGAGGGAGCUGAGUUUGCAGGUAGGUUCCCUGAAUGCAGGGCGCUGUUUUGGGCAGUGAGACCCCCUCCCGGUCUGUGAUGACUAGCCCACUGCGCAAUCUGAAGAAUAAUAAUAAUUAUAAACCAUAUGAUAGAAGCAGUGCUGUAUUAUAAUCUGAGACCAGGAGCUGCCAUACAGGGGGUCCCCCAGAACUAUCUCCCAGGGAUCUGCAUGUUGGUUUGUGUAUCCCAUCAUGCAGUUAAAGUUAAUUGUCGGUUGGGUUAAUGUAACUGGAAAUGUUAUAAUCAUUCUGGAUCUGCAGACUAAAACUAUUAAUGUGUUUAUUUCCUUUCCCCACAGGUGUACUAGGAGAGCUCCGGUGUUAUAUCAAAUUUCCCUACCAACGCUGAUCUGUGAUCUCAACUUGCAAGAUUUUCAUAACUUGUCAAUGUCCUUGUUUGUAUUUGUCGACUUUUCUGUUCUCUGUCAAAGCUUUUAUUACUUAUUUUAUUAAAUACACACGUCAUUUAAAGGAACACUCAAAGCACCAUGAUGUCUACAGCUUGCAGUAGUGUUUAUGGUUCUAGUAGUGCGGGGGGCAGGGGUGCACAACACCACACACUAUCCACUACAGGCAGGGCUGGUACAGGGACCUUUUGGUUAUACAGGUGAAGAUGCUUUUCCCACCCCAGUAAAAAAAUCCCUGGGAAGUUUUCGCACCAGGGCCCCUUGGUUUCUAG